GCUGUUGCAGCUGUAGCUUAUGCGCAUGCGCUAGCUUGGGGCAGGAUGACGUCACCUGACUACAAAAAGAGAAUGAGACAGACAGAGCUCUAAGAAAAAAUCCUGCUGCUUGUCACAAGAGGAACUGCUGGUCCAAAAAGACAACUUAAAGAGGACUAUACAGUCCAUUACUAUUAGUCUACCUGUGAACAGAAAAAGGUUUGCACGUUGUUAUGGACUUUUGAAGCUGGAACACCGGCCAAUUUUACAAGGCUCCCAUCUGAAGUUUUUUCACUUUUGAUAAAGAGGUGUUGAAGAAUGCUCCCAGAUAAUGCUGCCGAGUUGAAGUCUGGACUAAUUACGUAAGUGCCACUGUUCUAUUGUGUUUUGUGAUACGUUAUUGCUUCUGUAGACACUAGAUGUUGUCAAAAGAAUGAACUAAAAAUAAAGCAACAGUUUCCUGUUGCGAGAUAUCUUCGAGAUGAAAAAGAGCCCUUGUAAUGUGUACAGCACACUGUAAGCUGUUGACUGACUUCAUAGUACGCCGAUGUUGCAAAACUCAAGAUUUCUUUAUUGGCAUGCCGAGUUGGAGUCUGGAUGUGUUAGAUUGAAGUUUUUAGACGAAUGAUAAAGAGAAUGCAACAAUUGCCUGCUGGCGAGCUAUCUCGGAGAUGAAGAACGGCCCUUCAAGCUGUUCACUGACUUCAUAGUACGCCGGUAAGCAGUGGUGUAUUUUUUGUAUAAUUCCCAGCCUCUUCUCCUCAGAGUCAAUCUUUGUGUAUCUGCACAAAAUCAAGACGAAUAUAAAUACAUGCCACCGUGGGAUGUGAAGACACGGACAUGAUAAUGAGAGACAUAAUUAUAUAAUGUAGCUGAACAGAAAUUAAUAUAUCUUGUUCUUGUCUUCUUUGUCUUUGAAUUGUGACCUUUUGAA